rnacentral:lncRNA from 10 species
UAGACUUUACAGCAGCCGGGUGCAGUGGUGCAGGCCUGAGCAUGGACAUGAUGCCACAAGUGGAAAAUUCCAUACUUGACCUCAUGUGAUGGGUUGAACAAAAUUAUUAAAAAUACUGUAUAAAAUUACCUUCAGGUUAUAUGUAUAAGGUGUAUGUGAAACAUACAUGAAUUUCGUGUUUAAGCUUGUAUCCCAAGUUAUCUCAUUAUGUAUACGUAAAUAUUCCAAAAUCUGAAAAAAUCCAAAAUCUAAAACACUUCCAGUUCUAAGCAUUUGGGAUAAGGGAUACUCAACCUCAUUAAAAUCUCUUUUCUGUUUUGUGGCAUUCCUGCACUGGGAUCGCAUCUGCCUCUUAUUUCUCUGAAAAUGGAGUUUUUCAUCCCUUCCUUCCAAUUCUCCUUCCAGCCUUUCUUGAUUUCCAGAAUGAGAAAUCAUUAAGUC